AGUGAACGCUGGCGGUAGGCCUAACACAUGCAAGUCGAACGGCAGCACAGUAAGAGCUUUCUCUUACUGUUGGCGAGUGGCGGGCGGGUGAGGAAUACAUCGGAAUCUUCUUUUUCGUGGGGGAUAACGUAAGGAAACUUACGCUACUACCGCAUACGACCUACGGGUUGAAUCAAAGGAUCUUCGGACCUUGCGCGAUUGAAUUAGCCGAUUUCGGAUUAGCUAGUUGGCGGGGUAAAGGCCCACCAAGGCGACGAUCCGUAGCUGGUCUGAGAGGAUGAUCAGCCACACUGGAACUGAGACACGGUCCAGACUCCUACGGGAGGCAGCAGUGGGGAAUAUUGGACAAUGGGCGCAAGCCUGAUCCAGCAAUACCGCGUGGGUGAAGAAGGCCUUCGGGUUGUAAAGCCCUUUUGUUGGGAAAGAAAAGCAGCAGGUUAAUCCCUCGCUGUCCUGACGGUACCCAAAGAAUAAGCACCGGCUAACUUCGUG
rnacentral:rRNA from 1 species